GACGAACCGUGCGAACGUUGUUCGGAAUCACUGGGCUUAAAGGGCGCGUAGGCGGCUUGUCAAGUCAGGGGUGAAAUCUUUCGGCUCAACCGGAAAAGUGCCCUUGAUACUGAUGAGCUCGAGGGAGGUAGGGGCAUGUGGAACUUCUGGUGGAGCGGUGAAAUGCGUUGAUAUCAGAAGGAACGCCGGUGGCGAAAGCGACGUGCUGGACCUCUUCUGACGCUGAGGCGCGAAAGCUAGGGGAGCAAACGGG
rnacentral:rRNA from 1 species